GUGAGGAAUAUUGGACAAUGGGCGCAAGCCUGAUCCAGCCAUGCCGCGUGCAGGAAGACGCAUCUAUGGUGUGUAAACUGCUUUUGUACGGGAAGAAACACUCCCUCGUGAGGGAGCUUGACGGUACCGUAAGAAUAAGGAUCGGCUAACUCCGUGCCAGCAGCCGCGGUAAUACGGAGGAUCCAAGCGUUAUCCGGAAUCAUUGGGUUUAAAGGGUCCGUAGGCGGUUUAAUAAGUCAGUGGUGAAAGCCCAUCGCUCAACGAUGGAACGGCCAUUGAUACUGUUAGACUUGAAUUACAAGGAAGUAACUAGAAUAUGUAGUGUAGCGGUGAAAUGCGUAGAUAUUACAUGGAAUACCAAUUGCGAAGGCAGGUUACUACUUGUGGAUUGACGCUGAUGGACGAAAGCGUGGGGAGCGAACAGGAUUAGAAACCCGUGUAGUCC
rnacentral:rRNA from 1 species